GGGGGUGUAGCUCAGAUGGUAGAGCGCGCGCUUAGCAUGGGCGAGGUACCGGGAUCGAUACCCGGCACCUCCA
rnacentral:tRNA from 1 species